GACGAACGCUGGCGGCGUGCCUAAUACAUGCAAGUCGAGCGGACCAAUAGAAAAGCUUGCUUUUCUUGAGGUUAGCGGCGGACGGGUGAGUAACACGUGGGCAACCUACCUGUAAGACUGGGAUAACUUACGGAAACGUGAGCUAAUACCGUAUAGUUUCACUUCUCGCAUGAGAAGUGAAGGAAAGAUGGCUUUUAGCUAUCACUUACAGAUGGGCCCGCGGCGCAUUAGCUAGUUGGUGAGGUAACGGCUCACCAAGGCGACGAUGCGUAGCCGGCCUGAGAGGGUGACCGGCCACACUGGGACUGAGACACGGCCCAGACUCCUACGGGAGGCAGCAGUAGGGAAUCUUCCGCAAUGGACGAAAGUCUGACGGAGCGACGCCGCGUGAGCGAAGAAGGUCUUCGGAUCGUAAAGCUCUGUUGUUAGGGAAGAAGAAGUACCGUUCGAAUAGGGCGGUACGGUGACGGUACCUAACGAGAAAGCCCCGGCUAACUAC
rnacentral:rRNA from 1 species